rnacentral:lncRNA from 1 species
UUAUAGUAGUAGAGAUUAGUCCCCUAUCUUCUCGCUCCCUCAAGCAUAACCGGGGUUUGGUUCGCCUUGAGUAGUAGAGCUUCCUCCGUUGUCUUCCGCAAACUCGACACCGAUGAUUUCCGCUACCCUCUCGUUAAGCAGAACACAUUGAUUUUGAGAGGGAUUCCAGGAUUGAUUGAAGUUGGAAAGAUUCUACUAGUUGGAUAACUUGAUAGGUGAAAAAUCUGUAUAGGUGGAUUAGAGGCGCUCGUUUCGCUUGAAUUUGAUUGCUCACACUACGUUUACUGUAACAGUGGCUAUUUGCAGUGAUUGUCAUUUGUCUGGAUUAACUUUUCAUGACUCCAGUUUGGCUAUCCUAAAAUCUUAGAACAAGGAGUAAGUGACUUUAAUAGGCAUAUUUGUAGAAAUUCUAGUAGAAUAUUCAUAUAUCAUUUGUUUUUCACCAUAGCUAAGCAACGGUAUAAGUUAAAAUAAGUGUUGGUUUUUAGUCAUCAGGACCUUCGGAAUCAUCAAGCUGAUCAAGAUAAACCAUUACCUCCAAUAUACAAGGUAGUAAAGACUGUUUAUGCUUCUCCCAGCCAUGUCAACUUUCAUUUGGACUCGCAAAAGCUGUGUGGCUGACAUGGAGGGCAGCUGAGGCAGAAAGACGAUCUACCCAACUUGUAGAGGAGUUAGAGGCAAUGAAGGCUAGUGCAGCUCAACAAAAUGAAGAAUUAGAGGCAGUGAAGGCUAGUGCAGCUCAACAAAGUGAAGAGUUAGAGGCAGUUAAAGCAAACCAAAACGAGACAGAUGCACUUUAAAAAAAAUUGCUGGAACAAUUUUCCUCUAGGAAAUAAAGAUUUGUGAAGAGUGGUCCAAGGUUUGAGUUUUAAGCAAUAUACCUUUCGACUUGGUAUUAGCUUUUGGAAAGACUUAAGAAGUACAUACAUCUCUUGACUUAGUUAGCUUUUGGAAAUACAUCAUUAUCCAAGUUUCUUUGGGUAGUUCUUCUGAUGUUGAUACUUAUAUAUAUAACUGACUUUGGAUUUAAAGUUCAAUAGUUUAUGAGGGGGAUGAGAUACAUAUUUUAUUGGAGAUUAUUGCUAAUGUUAUUUAGUAUUAUUAUAUAAAUUUUAAUAUGUUAUGUUGAUCACCAUUG